CCGAGGAGAGGGGAAGAGAGAGAGAGAUAUUUUGAGAGAGAGGGACGAAGGGGGGAGACUCUCGAAAACAUCUCUCCCCGUCGGCCUCGGCGUGUUCGCGUGUCGGUGGCGGUGGCUGGCGCAGGCAGGCAGGAGAAGAAGAGGACGACAGAGGCGGUAACGACGGCGGCGAAGGAGGAGGAUGCGACGCGAGGCCUACUCUUCGUCGCGUUGGCCCCGUCGCUGACGCGCCAGCCGGACUCCGGCCUCUCCGUCCGUCCGUCCGACGUUCGAGUCGAGUCUCCUCCGAAGUUCGUGUGUCUGACUUUCGCUCGGGGGUACCCGAGGGACCUCCGCGCCAUGGCCGGCCGGCCUCGUCGACUACUGUGUCGAUUUUCUUCCUGGGUCUUUUCAUUUUCAAAGUUUCUCCAACUUUUCAAACUACAUAAACAAGAUCUCUUUUCGAGGCCGACGUUCAAGGCUAGGAACGUUGAAAACGAGAAGCGAUAGUACAGACGACGUAAAGACUGUGAAGAUAUGUGAGGCAGACACAUGCUCGUAGUCAACGUCAGGUUAAGAGCCAAACAAUUACAACCUACCUAUACCCUAUUCUGAUAGGGACUAGGCGCUAUACAUAGAUGAUACGGGCAAGUCACCCUACUACACAUAUUUUGAUAGCUUUCAGACUUACCACCACUCGUCUUCGAGUUCUGUGACAUGGGACUUACCUAACUACUCCUCCUUCUUUGUCUCUAUGGUAGAACAGGUAGCGAAGGUCUCGGAUUAAAGGGUUCUCCCUGUGUGAAACUACAAUAACGACACUUCGAAGGGACAUGGGCUCAACCGCCCACCAGGUCUCUACAACGGGCCAACGUAGACGUCAACAGUCGUCGUUUUAACCGGCACUGGCGGCGUUCUCCGUUGGCACCCCAUGUACACUACAAACACUGCCUCACGAAGGGAGAAGGCUUAGAGAAGAGAACGUUCUUAGAAUUCUUUGUACUUCCGUUACGAACCGAUAUGUUCGGACUGAGCUUCCGUAAUUUCCUCUUCGAAUCUGAAGGCUAACCUAGAACACUCGAACGACAAGGUGAGUUUCGUUUUAGUUCUGAAAUGAGCCAUCUGGCUGCGUCUCUUCGUAUACGAUGGUAUGACGUAAGUCGUUCACUCAUACAGACACCACGUUAACGUCGUCGAGUUUCGUAAGCAGUUCGUCCUAGUUGUUCCCUGAAACAAUAAGAACAGCUGCUGUGGUAUUCACUGGUAGUGGCCUUCCCGGAACUUAGACGCCCAACCUUCCACUCUUAUUAGCUCUCCUAUGCCUUGGGUUUCCGACUCGCACUACGAAUGUUACUCACCUUGAUGUCGUUUAAGGCCAACACCGUCGAGUGCCUAAUACUGUUCUAGUAUAAGUAUCUACGACUAGACGAGUAGGACUCCUUGUAACUAAAGGACAAAUGUUACGGCCUUUAGUCACGUUGACCGUUGUUACGUUGUGAGAAGUUGAGACCACAGUACCAAUAGCUUGGAAGUUUGACGUGUAAGGUCGACAAUUACUUAGUGUAGUUGCUCUAGUGUAGAAUGUUACCACCACUAGUCCCUAUGAACUUGCUCUAUAAGUGUACCACCGUAGCCUAAGGUUUCGUGUACUUAAAGGACUUCGUAAAGACCCUCCCACUACUUCUCCUCCACUUCCGCUUCUUCUGGGUCGACAAGCCACGGUUGGGUGGCUAGGAGAUGCAGGAGGUGAUGGACCCGGCGUUCGGUACCGAUACGAAGGCCCUGAUACUGACGUUGACCUUGCAAGGCUAUGACGCCCUCAAACGGUCACUGUAGCGCGUGUGGGCCACCACCUUCCACGUACUGUUCUACGGGUUCUUCGAGGUCUCGAUGACGGAGGACUCCAGCUCCGACUUCCGUCCCGACCUCACCCUCGCCUCCGUCCGCCUCUUCCGGUUGAAGUGGCUGCCCGUGACCUUCGCCUUGUAGUGGCUGUUCUCCGAGUUCUAAACGAAGCUCUUCAAGACGAAGACCCUCUCGUACGACACCGUGACCCCGCUCCGGGGGUUGUUGCGCUGCUUCUUCCGGGGCUGCGGCCGCGACGGGCGGCGCUGGGACAGCUCGAGCACUCUACGACACAUCUAUAGGAGGGGGCGCUUUAAAAUCGUAUGGUCUACUACUAUGUCGUCUGGGGGGGUCAGAGGAGGUAAGGUAUGUUAUGUGUUAUCGCUGUCGAAACAUUUCCAUCGGUACGUACGACGAGGAUCCGGAAAGCAAGGGUUGUCGAUAUGUAAAACAAACGACGGCUACGGAGCCCGCGCGAGAGCGACGACGACGACGACGAGGUUGGCGCUGCCGAUUGCUAAAAAACCAAAGUAGUACCUACCCAUUAUUAAGCAGCGAACAUCCAUUUGAAAAGGCCCGUCCUGAACAGAUACCGACCGACACAACCACGUCACCAUCAAUCGAAAAACAUUACAUUACACACAUACCACCAACAACUUGACAACCGAGGCCACCGCAACCAGACCCCACUACGUUCCAAAUCUAACGACUGGCCGCCUGCGGCGGCGAGGAAAAACCGUGGUACCCAUUACCUUAAACCCAACCAAGUUGACGAGCC
rnacentral:rRNA from 1 species